CUUAUGAUUAUGGUUGAUAAUUAAGACUGAGCUAGCAGAUGAGAAGUCCUAGUCUUUGGCAUUUGUACCUAAUAUAAGUUUCUGGGUAUUAUUUGAGUCCCUAACAUGGCAGGCAGAACUCAGGUGGCUUGGCAGAAAGCUCCCACGUGGCAUCAGGGCUUGGGCAGCUUUGGAGUAAAGACAUAUCGUUACAGAGUAACUUUAUCAUCAGACUGGCACAGUAGAGGAAGAAAGAAUAAGGGGACAAAGAUUGUGCCAGGAUGGAAUCUUUACCCCUUAAAAGAAAUCUGUGAUAUGUUGUUCAAUUACAUAUAUUUUCAUAGAGGUGUCAGAGUGCUAUGGUUGCACAUUUUAAUUUUUAAAAUCAUUUGUAUUCUUUGUGUAUAUGUGUGGCCUGAGUGUAGGUAUGUGCACCAUGUACAUGCAGGAGGCUGGAGACCAGAAGGCUAUGGGAAUUCUGGAACUAGAGUUACAGGUACUCUAGGGGGAAGAAGCAUGAAACCUAUUUCAAGAACAAUUUUACCAAAAAGAACAUGUAAAGCAAGGCACAAGGGAAAAUAUCAUGGGACUUAGAAAAACCCUCAACUAAAAUACCUAUGACAGGAAAGCAUAAGCAGUGGUAUACUGGGCUUAGAUGCCACUGUUGACCACCUAGGGAGAAUCUUGGAGCCUGGGAACAUGAAAGCAGAGUGGUUAUUAAAAGAAACACAGCCGUUUACAUUUAACAAUUUCUACUGAUAUUAUUGAAGCUGAUCAUGAGGCAAGUGUAGAAGACUUUCCUAACAUGUGCAAAACCUUGGGUUCAAUUUUCAGGACCAUCACAUAGAUACACACACACUCCUCUGUAGCUGUUAUCCAGUUUAGCUAUAUCUCAGGCCCUUAAAUAAAUCCUGCAAUGCACUGGAUGUGUCCUCAUUUUAAUUAUUUUUAUUCCUUUUUAUUGAACAUUCUUGACAAUUGAAUAAGACAGGGUUUUUAAAUAAGGAAACUAUGUUUAUCACAUGUUCCCCAAUAAGCAGGAUGUAUGCUUAUGUAUGCUUAUUUAAGCUUUCAUAUAAACACGGUUUCCCUUAACAAAAUUAUCUGUAGAAGAGCUUGUUUGUGCUUUCUUAAAUGUAAGCAUUUCUAUGAAAGAGGAAACAGCUAUGACUAAAAUGAACCAAGUAAUUCAUCCAUGCUCUAAUGUAGGUUAUUUGAGAGUGUUUGACUAAUAAUAUGGCAGUCUCCACUUUACAACUGCCAGGGGAUGAAGAAAAAGAUAGCUAAACAAAGCAUCCAUAGCAGAGCCCUGGCUAGCUAACAGAGCCAUUUAGUUGCCUCAAAUCUGUAUUCCUUGCAGAAAGUAAAGUGCCCCCUCCUAGCUUCUGCUUCCUGGGUGGUACAGUGACUGUACUUGACAGGGACUUGACCUUCAGCUGUAGUAUGCAAGGGGUCAUCUCCACAUCUAUUCCCUUUCACACCCAUCUUGGAGAAUGGGUUCUGAACCAUGACAUUAUCUUCCUUGGAAAGGGAAGUCUAAGAAAGGAGCAGGGCUCUUUAUUGAAGCACAGAUUAAAAUUUUAUACCUGAAGUGUUUACACACUAGGGACAUCUAUGAUAGCUUGCUAGAAUAGGGUAAUUUCAUCAAACUUCUUGUACUACUCAACUUGGUACUGCUAGAGUUUCAAGAAGUGGUGAGAAACAGACACUCCUGACCCCGCUGCGGAGCGAAUGAACACAAUAGAAUAUCUGCACAUCUUCGGAUGUCGCCUGCAUUGUCUAAACUCUCAGUACAAGAUGUAGAAAAAGACAAGUGUAGAUUCAGUAAGUCCCCGAGUGAUUCAACUCUAGGCUCUCAGAAGGAACAAGUGCUAAUAUAAAUGGACACGGAGCGCUGCAGUAAUCCACACAACUGAAGAAUGGAAAUUCUGUCUUGUUUGAGUUAUUGAGAGUAGUCACUGGUUUCCAAUUGAGAUUGCCAAGACACUGCAUUGUGAAAUCCAAAUGAAAUACAAGGAAGAAUAAUUUGAAGAGAAAGUAAAAUGGAGUUGUGGAGAGAACAGACUUGGAAAUGUCCAGAUUCAUCCACAAACUGACUGCAUUGCAAAGCAUUGACGAUCCUUGGUCUCAAUUUUCCCACCAGCAAAAGACUGUGUGAAUGUGCAUACUCGCUUUCCAAGAAGGAAAAUCUUGACUUGAACUGAUAAACCUCCUGUCCAAGACUCCCAAAUUGCCAUGAUCACAGGCCUGUUCUACCAGGCCUGAAUGCUGCAAUCUAACUCUUCUGUAAUGCCAGAUAAAGAAAACUUUCAUUGAAGUUUUCAUAUGACCACACAGAAAAUUGAAAGCAUUUGAUUACAUGCAAUUAGUAGACCUCCAGGAUUGGAUAAUAAAGUUCCAAGCAUAUGGAGACAUCUCAGUGGAUAAAGUGUUGCUAUGAGGACCUCAAUUUGAAACCUCGGAGCUCACUAAGAAUCCAAAAGUGGCUCUCUGAUGAGAAAACAAAAUGACCACAUCAAGGACAUUUAUCUCCAAUCCAUAGCACCCGAAAACAAUCUUGAAUCAACAAAGUGUACGGAGCAGCAUAACUAAAGGAUAAACACUCACUGGUCUUGCCUUGGGAGCACAUUUUUAAAGAAGAGAAGAAAUAAAUCUUCUUUGUUGUAGUUCUUAACCGAAUAUUAUGAAGGCACUGUGAUCUGCCAUUCUGAUUCAAGUUGAGCAGCACCAAUAGCUAAAUAGAGGUUCACCAGGGCUGAGAGAAGGAAGGAUCAGAAAGGGAAGGAUGGAAAGAUAGCAGCGGAGGAAGGAAAGGUUAAAAAGGAGAAGAGGAAAUACAGGCAAGGAAGAGGAUGAAGGGAGAGGAACAGAUGGAGAGAAAGGAACAGAAAUCAGCUCAAAUAGCCAUUCUGACACAUCUGCUAAAACAGGCCUAAAAGAAGAAAAGGAGUUCUAUGAGAAGGAAACUAAUGUCCAAAUGUCCAAUUCAAUGUCAACAACUGAUUGUCACAUUUUUUUCUACUGGAGCAGACAAUGUAGUAUGCAUUGAGAUUCAGAAAGUGACAAAUGAUUCCAGAGUUUUGCUCAAGAGAUACUUGAGUGCCAAGUAAAUCUCCUAGCUGUGCCCAGAAUCUACUCAGCAUUUUUCUGCCACUGACUCUGCUUAUGCCAGACUACUGCGUCUCAAAACAUGACUGGAGAAGAGAAAAUGCUAAGGUGAUGAUGGUUCCUAUCUCGGAAGAUCGUAUGAAGGAAGUGCUUGAAGCAAACCCUGGGAGCCUGUAGUUUCAUUGACUAUAUAUUAAAUGAUUCAAAUUCCUAAGA